GAUGAACGCUGGCGGCGUGCUUAACACAUGCAAGUCGAACGAUGAAGCCCAGCUUGCUGGGUGGAUUAGUGGCGAACGGGUGAGUAACACGUGAGUAACCUGCCCUUGACUCUGGGAUAAGCCUGGGAAACUGGGUCUAAUACCGGAUAGGAACGUCCCCCGCAUGGUGGUUGUUGGAAAGAUUUAUCGGUCAUGGAUGGACUCGCGGCCUAUCAGCUUGUUGGUGAGGUAAUGGCUCACCAAGGAGAAGACGGGUAGCCGGGCUGAGAGGGUGAACGGCCGCACUGGGACUGAGACACGGCCCAGACUCCUACGGGAGGCAGGAGUGGGGAAUAUUGCACAAUGGGCGAAAGCCUGAUGCAGCGAAGCCGCGUGAGGGAUGACGGCCUUCGGGUUGUAAACCUCUUUCAGUAGGGAAGAAGCGAAAGUGACGGUACCUGCAGAAGAAGCACCGGCUAACUACGUGCCAGCAGCCGCGGUAAUAC
rnacentral:rRNA from 1 species